rnacentral:rRNA from 1 species
AUUGAACGCUGGCGGCAUGCUUUACACAUGCAAGUCGAACGGCAGCGGGGGCUUCGGCCUGCCGGCGAGUGGCGAACGGGUGAGUAAUGCAUCGGAACGUGCCCAUGUCGUGGGGGAUAACGUAGCGAAAGUUACGCUAAUACCGCAUACGCCCUGAGGGGGAAAGCGGGGGAUUCUUCGGAACCUCGCGCGAUUGGAGCGGCCGAUGUCGGAUUAGCUAGUAGGUGAGGUAAAGGCUCACCUAGGCGACGAUCCGUAGCGGGUCUGAGAGGAUGAUCCGCCACACUGGGACUGAGACACGGCCCAGACUCCUACGGGAGGCAGCAGUGGGGAAUUUUGGACAAUGGGCGCAAGCCUGAUCCAGCCAUGCCGCGUGAGUGAAG